GUUGAAGAAGAUGAUGAUGAAGAUGAACAAAAAGAUGAGAAGAAGCAGACAACUCUUUCUACCCAUGAAACGAAGCUUCAGAAACUUCGUUCUGAAAUAGACCAGAUGGAAAAAGCAAAUUUGGAGCCAAAAAAUUGGACCAUGCGAGGAGAGGUAACUGCAGAGAGAAGGCCAAAGAACAGUGCGCUAGAAGUUGAUCUAGAUUUUGAACACAAUGUUAGACCUCCCCCUGUAAUCACAGAGGAGGUUACAGCAUCGAUUGAGGAUAUCAUCCAGAAAAGAAUCG